UCUCAUAACCGCAUAGAAUUUAUGAAUGAAUCAACAUACCACACGUCAUUAUCAACCGUACUCUACGGAUCCCACUAACUACCAACAACUUACUACGAGUAGUAAUGAGUGGCAACAUUGGCCGAUAAUGCCGUGCCGCUGUCAAACUAACCCAAAUGUCAUCAUCGAUUUUCUUAUUUACACGCAGCCGUCAGGGAGUAUACAACAAAUAAUAAUUUCGAUAAUAAUUUGCAAAUAAUUUUUCUUUUAUUUACGCAGGAAUAUAAAGAGGAAUUGGUUAAAAUGUUGCAUUCACCAACCACCCUGGACAUGGCGGGGUGUCCGAACAGCUCUUCCAGACCCCUCCAGCAACCAUAAGAGAAUAGGAGCUGGAAAUAAGUCGUAGUUUUGGGGCCGCCACGAAGGCGUAAAGUUUCAAUGAAUGUGGCAGGUGAAAAUGGUCUGCGGCGAGACCACGCAACAAAACUGCAGGCCUGGCGACAGAAAGAAGUCAGGAAUGGUGUGCGACGAGCGAGUUCCGCCUAUCAGAAACGGGUUUGUGACCAAAAAGCCGCCAAUGUGAGGAACUCCCACACCCUGAGAUUCAGCCGGGCAAUACUGCAGUUCACCAUUAGAGAAGUGCGGUCUCUCAUCGAUGUCGGAAAACACCAUCGUUCACAUGUCUAGAUAUGUAGGAUACACACGUUCGCCCAUAGGACAAAUAAAAAAAGAAAAGACCGUGCAGGUCCAAUAGUUAUAAAUUAAUUCAGAAACUUAUAUCGUCUAGUCAAUAGUGUAUAAUCACAGGAAAACAAAAAGAAAAAAGUGUAGAAUUACGAAAAA